GCCGAGGUGGCGGAAUGGCAGACGCGCACGUUUGAGGGGCGUGUGGGGCAACCCGUGGGGGUUCAACUCCCCCCCUCGGCACCA
rnacentral:tRNA from 1 species